CGCACGCAUCUGUCAGCGGGUCUGCAGCAGGCAUGCAUCCGCCNCCACUGGGCACUGCAGUCACCACGGCCCAGCACAUCCUCCGGGCCGGCCAGCCAGUGGGGCACAUCAUUGGCACUACAUGGCGGGGCAACCCUGCAUCCAGCCCAUGCCGCGUGUUGUGCAAGCACAGGCCUUCAUGGUUUGUCACACNGCCUUUCA
rnacentral:rRNA from 1 species